GACGUAGGAUGCAAGCGUUGUCCGGAAUUAUUGGGCGUAAAGAGUUCGUAGGCGGUUGCCUAAGUCUGAUGUUAAAUACUGGAGCUCAACUCCGGCAUGGCAUUGGAAACUGGGCGGCUAGAGUGUGGUAGAGGUCUCGGGAAUCCCAGGUGUAGCGGUGAAAUGCGUAGAUAUCUGGAGGAACACCGGUGGCGAAGGCGGCCUGCUGGGCAGUUACUGACACUGAGGCGCGACAGCGUGGGGAGCAAACAGG
rnacentral:rRNA from 1 species